GAUUCCCCCAAGAUUUCUCUCUCUCUCUCUCUCUCUCUAUACAUCAUUGUAUUUCACUGAAUCUUUGUUCACACUCAGGCGUCAAUCCUCUACAAACUAAUUGCCUCACAUUAUCAGUUCAUGGAGACGGUUCGUGAAUCGGGGAACAGAUACUCAGAAGUGAUUGCACUCCAAGACAUUGCAACAUAUGGUGUGUUUUGUGUGCUUGCAAGUUUUGACAGAACAAAGCUGAAGGCAACUAUACCAUGUCUAUUACUAUUGCAUAGUUCCUAUGUAAUAUUGUAGUUUGAAGUUAUGUUCCUGAUUAGUUUGAUUUAUUUGGCAGAACAAGGCCAUAGACAAUCUCAACUUCCAGAAUUUCUUAGAGUCAGUCCCUGAAGUUAGGGAGCUUACUCACAAUUUUUAUUCAAGCCAUUAUGCUUCAUGUCUGGAUUACCUUGGGGAUUUGAAAACAACCCUGCUGCUUGGUAUCCAUUUGCACGACCAUGUCAUGACACUGUAUGAAGAGGUCCGUCACAAAGUCCUUAUCCGGUAUACUCACCCAUUUGUGGCAGUUGAUCUUCAGAUGAUGGCUAAUGCUUUCAAAACAAGCGUUGCAGGUCUUGAGAAAGAGCUUGAAGCUCUAAUUACUGACAACCAAAUACAGGUACUUUCUCAAGUUUCGAUUGAUUAAUCCCCUUUAUCGUAUGUUUUAGAGCACCUCCAAUGCUUUAAUACCUGAAUGACCAGUGCUAUUGGAUUACUAGAUAUUACUGUAUUGUAUAAGUUCGGGUCGUCACAGAAGUACUCUUUUUCGAAGCCUUUAUCAUCAACUAUUUUCUUAAAAUGGAUAUUUUUUCUUUUAGUUGCAUAAAAAACAAUUGUAGUUGUAUAUGAGGGUUAAUUUUAUAAGUGGAUAGAGAAAUAAUUUUUGCACUUCACUUUCUUAUAAAUGUGCUCCGGAAUUUAAUUGAUGCAUUAAUCCACACUAAAAGACAAAUUUUAGAGAGCAUUGAUAAAAUAGUGGAUUGUAAAAAUUAUUUCCUAAGCUUAUGUAUACAUAUAUACUAGCAUUGUUCACUAAAAAGCACUGAGCACUUCUAUCGAACCAUAGGAAUUUGGCAAUGUGAUCUUCAUCCUAUGCAUGGAAUAGUAUCCAUUCAAAUGACAUUGAGCAUACAACUAUGAGACUUGGAUUUGUAUCAAAGCCUCUAUUUGUGGACCUAAAUGCCCAUUGAUUUUGUUGAUUUGGUACUCUUUGCGCUAGCCACUUGAAUAAGUGUGGGCAACAUCAAGAAAAUAGAGAAAGAUUUUAGGGUCUAUGCAAUAGAACCAAAAAACAAACAGAGAAAAAAAGUGAGGAAUGGGUGGGGUAGGGAAAAUGAAAACAGGACAUAUGGUUUAAACUUCACAAACAACCAUAGCCUUGCAACCCAAGUAUGCAGGCUCGGCCCUAGGGCAAGGCCCAAGUGGCUGCCGCCUAGGACCGCCAAAUUUUGGACGCAAAAAGCGGCCCUCAUUUUGGAUAAUUAUAAAUGAAGGAGGUUUUGUUGGUAGCUAUCAACACAGUGUGUUUUGGUUCGAAUCUGUGCUUGCACUUUUUUACCUUUCUAUUUCUUGGCAUUGCCAGUUGAAAUGUGUUAUUACGAAGUCUUGAUAUGCAAACCUAACAAUACACGAGUCAAAUAUAGCUAUCUACAUCACCAUGUUUCAUAAUCUCUCUGGAUUCCAACUGCCAAAAACUCUAUAAUUAGUAAGGCUUUCUCUAUGUAAACUUCAGACACGAAUUUUUUAUUCACCCGGUUCUUUAUCAUCACAUAGAGUUGCCUUUUCAUCAUCAUGAUUGCUCAUCUCUUCAUUCUUUUGUUUGUCCUUUCCUCGGUUGCCAUUGAGAAAACAAAGGGGUGCCAACACUCUUGCCUGCAGUGGCCACACUUCCGGCCUUGGCUGUGGCAACAAAUGCAAUGACGCUUGAUGAUCUCAACAAACCAUUGUCGGAUUUCAUUGGUGUUCACGAUGAUGAGAAGCCAUAAACAACCGCGCCAGACAGCCAUGGCUUGCACGAUUGGGAGGACAAAGAAACCACUCCGCCUAAUCACGGGAAGACAAAAACACAAAUUCUCCAUAUACGCCUGAUCCUUAUGUCCAUGGCUCGGCAACAACCAUAUAAAAGAAUGGUUCACGGCCCUUUACUUGCUCUGUCUGUUCUUUACUUAAAAGGUGGUGGUGGUUAAAAGAAUUGUGGUUUUCAAGACUAUACAUACAACUUCGGGGAUGCGAAUUCCAACACCGAUGAUGGCAGCCUUCGGCCUAGCCCCUUGUCGCUGUACUGCGAAACUUUGUUUGGCAAGCCGUCUGGAAGAGUUUCUUUUUUUUUUUUUUUUUCCUUUUUUAUAUAUCCUGUCUGGAAGGGUUCCUGAUAGUCGUCUAAUCAUUGAUUUUGUAGGUAAGCAACUAACUAUGUCCCUAUUUCUCUGUUGUUUCUGGAUAGAACUUAUUUAUACUUUCGAUGCACUCCCAAUCAGACAAUAUAACAUGUUUGUCGAAAUUGUGCCUCGAAA